GACCGGCGCACGGGUGAGUAACACGUAUGCAACCUACCCUUUACAGGAAGAUAGCCCGAAGAAAUUCGGAUUAAUAUUCCAUAAUUCCAUAAAUUCGCAUGAAUUUUUGGAUAAAGUUACGGCGGUAAAGGAUGGGCAUGCGUACCAUUAGCUAGUUGGUAAGGUAACGGCUUACCAAGGCAACGAUGGUUAUGGGGUCUAAAAGGAUGGUCCCACACACUGGUACUGAGACACGGACCAGACUCCUACGGGAGGCAGCAGUGAGGAAUAUUGGUCAAUGGGCGGAAGCCUGAACCAGCCAUCCCGCGUGCAGGAUGACGGCCUUAGGGUUGUAAACUGCUUUUUUGAAGGAAGAAUAAUCGUAACGUGUUACGAGAUGACGGUACUUCAAGAAUAAGCAUCGGCUAACUCCGUGCCAGCAGCCGCGGUAAUACGGAGGAUGCAAGCGUUAUCCGGAUUUAUUAGGUUUAAAGGGUGUGUAGGCGGAAUAGUAAGUCAGAGGUAAAAGGCUACAGCUUAACUGUAGUAAGCCUUUGAUACUGUUAUUCUUGAGUUCGGUUGAGGCAAGCGGAAUGUGUUGUGUAGCGGUGAAAUGCAUAGAUAUAACACAGAACACCAAUUGCGUAGGCAGCUUACUAAGCCGUUACUGACGCUGAUGCACGAAAGCGUGGGUAGCAAACAGGAUUAGAUACCCUGGUAGUCCACGCCGUAAACGAUGAUCACUCGUUGUUGGCAAUAAAUCGUCAGCGACUGAGCGAAAGCAUUAAGUGAUCCACCUGGGGAGUACGUUCGCAAGAAUGAAACUCAAAGGAAUUGACGGGGGCCCGCACAAGCGGAGGAACAUGUGGUUUAAUUCGAUGAUACGCGAGGAACCUUACCAGGGCUUAAAUCUAUAGUGCAUGAAGUGGAAACACUUCUUUCCUUCGGGACUCUUUACAAGGUGCUGCAUGGUUGUCGUCAGCUCGUGCCGUGAGGUGUCGGGUUAAGUCCCAUAACGAGCGCAACCCCUAUUGUCAGUUGCCAGCACAUAAUGGUGGGGACUCUGAUAAGACUGCCGGUGCAAACCGUGAGGAAGGUGGGGAUGACGUCAAAUCAGCACGGCCCUUAUGUCCAGGGCUACACACGUGUUACAAUGGUCAAAACAAAGGGCAGCCACCUGGCGACAGGGCGCUAAUCCCUAAAUUUGAUCUUAGUUCGGAUCGAAGUCUGCAACUCGACUUCGUGAAGCUGGAUUCGCUAGUAAUCGCACAUCAGCAACGGUGCGGUGAAUACGUUCCCGGGCCUUGUACACACCGCCCGUCAAGCCAUGGAAGCUGGGGGUGCCUGAAGUCCGUAACCGUAAGGAGCGGCCUAGGGUAAAACCGGUGACUGGGGC
rnacentral:rRNA from 1 species